rnacentral:rRNA from 1 species
CACGUAGGGUGCGAGCGUUGUCCGGAAUUAUUGGGCGUAAAGAGCUCGUAGGCGGUGUGUCGCGUCGGCCGUGAAAACCUGCAGCUUAACUGUGGGCUUGCGGUCGAUACGGGCAUCACUGGAGUUCGGCAGGGGAGACUGGAAUUCCUGGUGUAGCGGUGAAAUGCGCGGAUAUCAGGAGGAACACCGGUGGCGAAGGCGGGUCUCUGGGCCGAUACUGACGCUGAGGAGCGAAAGCGUGGGGAGCAAACAGG